GCAUUAAUGGGGUAGUGGUAACCUGGGUCGUUGCCAUUUGGCAGAUCUCGACUGAGUCGACCCGCCGGGGGUUCGAUUCCCUCUUAAUGCA
rnacentral:tRNA from 1 species